rnacentral:lncRNA from 1 species
AAAGUAUGAAAGUUUGCUAUAUUUUUAACACAAAAUUUAAACAUUAUUUUUAACAUUAAAUUUAAAAUGUUUUAGAGAAAGCCUGAAUAUAACUCAUGGAGAGGCUGAUAGAACCACACUUCCUGAUGCAAUAAUACAAAAUCUCAAAGAGCAACUUGCAACAGUUUUUGCCAAUUACUCGUGGGCGUGCGUCAGACGAAGUCUUAAUCAGAGCGGCCUAGAUAGGAAGAAAAAAUGAAAGUAAUCAGCAAUGCAAUUGUGAUUCUGUAAUAAUGAUAAUAUGUGAAAAAUUUCUUUUAUACA